GACAGAGGGGGCAAGCGUUGCUCGGAAUUACUGGGCGUAAAGGGCGCGUAGGCGGGAUGGCAAGUCGGUCGUGAAAUCCCUCGGCUCAACCGAGGAACGUCGAUCGAUACUGCUGUUCUUGAGGAUUGCAGAGGAGACUGGAAUUCCCGGUGUAGCGGUGAAAUGUGUAGAGAUCGGGAGGAACACCGGUGGCGAAGGCGGGUCUCUGGGCAAUUCCUGACGCUGAGACGCGAAAGCGUGGGGAGCGAACCGG
rnacentral:rRNA from 1 species